rnacentral:tRNA from 1 species
GCCGGGGUGGCGAAAUUGGUAGACGCGCCGGAUUCAAAUCCGGUUCUAGUGAUAGAGUGCCGGUUCGAGCCCGGCUCCCGGUACCA